UGUGUGGGGAAGAUGAGAGCCAGAGCAAAGCUCUGAGGAACCAACCUGGACCUGGAUACGAACCCAGCUGUGUGUCCUUCAGGAGUGACAGAUCAAAGGGUCUUGAUGUUGACUUCAAAGGCAACAGUUCAGGAGUGGAACAGAACCAACCUGGACCUGGAGAUGAACCCAGCUGUGUGUCCUUCAGGUGUAACAGGUCAAAGAGUUCACCUCCUGGCUUCGAAGGCAGUUCACUA